UUAUAAGAGACAGCAGUCGCCGCGGGAAUACAGAGGGUGCGAGCGUUAAUCGGAUUUACUGGGCGUAAAGCGUGCGUAGGCGGCUUUUUAAGUCGGAUGUGAAAUCCCUGAGCUUAACUUAGGAAUUGCAUUCGAUACUGGGAAGCUAGAGUAUGGGAGAGGAUGGUAGAAUUCCAGGUGUAGCGGUGAAAUGCGUAGAGAUCUGGAGGAAUACCGAUGGCGAAGGCAGCCAUCUGGCCUAAUACUGACGCUGAGGUACGAAAGCAUGGGGAGCAAACAGGAUUAGAUACCCCCGUAGUCCCUGUCUCUUAUAC
rnacentral:rRNA from 1 species